CCUGAGAAACCCAAAAGUUCGAAUGGAGAGAUUCAUCGUCAGCGCAUUUUGGUAUAUGUGCAAGUUACGAUGUGANUUGUCCUUGUGANGAAUUUUGCACGUGCUUGUAUCAUUUUAUUGCCGGGUGUCGUCGGCGUGCACUUCUCUCCUAGUAGAACGUCGCGACCCGUUAGACGUCGAUCUACGGCCCGGAUGGUUGUCUUUAAUGUCAUCGCAAGAUGUUACUAUUAAAGACCACCGGUGUUACCUGACCGACUGUCCGACGGUAUUCAUACGGUAUUGAGCCGCAGUUAUAAAUGCGUCGAACCCGUUCGCAAGCUCGAUUAGUAUCACUCAACAGUUACGGACCUAUGCCGUCGUUGGGACUAAUCAGCUGUUAGUUGUGCGGUGUUCCUUGACUGGCUCAAGAUAAUUACCGGUCANNGAUGCUACUGCUUUGGGUAUUUCAGGACCCGUCUUGAAACANGGACCAAGGAGUCUAACAUGUACGCGAGUCAUUGGGGUUAAUUUUUUAAUGACAAAACCUAAAGGCACAAUGAAAGUAAAAGUGACCUUGUGUCAAAUGAAGAGAGAGUUGCGNUACACGAUCAUAGCUUCGCACUCCCGGGGCGUUUCAUUCUCAUUGAC
rnacentral:rRNA from 1 species